AUUGAACGCUGGCGGCAGGCCUAACACAUGCAAGUCGAACGGUAACAGGAAACAGCUUGCUGUUUCGCUGACGAGUGGCGGACGGGUGAGUAAUGUCUGGGAAACUGCCUGAUGGAGGGGGAUAACUACUGGAAACGGUAGCUAAUACCGCAUAACGUCGCAAGACCAAAGAGGGGGACCUUCGGGCCUCUUGCCAUCGGAUGUGCCCAGAUGGGAUUAGCUAGUAGGUGGGGUAACGGCUCACCUAGGCGACGAUCCCUAGCUGGUCUGAGAGGAUGACCAGCCACACUGGAACUGAGACACGGUCCAGACUCCUACGGGAGGCAGCAGUGGGGAAUAUUGCACAAUGGGCGCAAGCCUGAUGCAGCCAUGCCGCGUGUAUGAAGAAGGCCUUCGGGUUGUAAAGUACUUUCAGCGGAGAGGAAGGGAGUAAAGUUAAUACCUUUACUCAUUGACGUUACCCGCAGAAGAAGCACCGGCUAACUCCGUG
rnacentral:rRNA from 1 species